AAAGCGUUAACUUAAAUUUAAAGUGUUGAAUUUUUAAUUCGGAAAUGGGAUGGCCACGUUUUA
rnacentral:tRNA from 1 species